GGCAGGGUAGCUCAACGGUGGAGCAUUAGACUCAUAAUCUAACGGUUGAGGGUUCAAGCCCCUCCCUUGCC
rnacentral:tRNA from 1 species